rnacentral:rRNA from 1 species
GAUGAACGCUGGCGGCGUGCUUAACACAUGCAAGUCGAACGAAGCACUUGGAUCUCUUCGGAGUGAUGAGUGACUGAGUGGCGGACGGGUGAGUAACGCGUGGGUAACCUGCCUCGUACAGGGGGACAACAGUUGGAAACGACUGCUAAUACCGCAUAAGCGCACAGUAUCGCAUGAUACAGUGUGAAAAGCUGAGGCGGUACGAGAUGGACCCGCGUUGGAGUAGCUAGUUGGUGGGGUAACGGCCUACCAAGGCGACGAUCCAUAGCCGACCUGAGAGGGUGACCGGCCACAUUGGGACUGAGACACGGCCCAAACUCCUACGGGAGGCAGCAGUGGGGAAUAUUGCACAAUGGGCGAAAGCCUGAUGCAGCGACGCCGCGUGAGCGAUGAAGUAUUUCGGUAUGUAAAGCUCUAUCAGCAGGGAAGAAAAUGACGGUACCUGACUAAGAAGCUCCGGCUAAAUACGUGCCAGCCGCCGCGGUAACAC